rnacentral:rRNA from 1 species
GAUGAACGCUGGCGGCGUGCCUAACACAUGCAAGUCGAACGGAGUCCCGCCUUAGAGACCUUCGGGUCAAAGAGGGGAAGACUGAGUGGCGGACGGGUGAGUAACACGUGGGCAACCUGGCUCAUAGAGGGGGAUAACAGAGAGAAAUUUAUGCUAAUACCGCAUAAGCACACACUGCCGCAUGGCAGAGUGUGAAAAGAGAAUCGCUAUGAGAUGGACCCGCGUCUGAUUAGCCAGUUGGCAGGGUAAGAGCCUACCAAAGCGACGAUCAGUAGCCGAUUUGAGAGGAUGAACGGCCACAUUGGGACUGAGACACGGCCCAAACUCCUACGGGAGGCAGCAGUGGGGGAUAUUGCACAAUGGGGGGAACCCUGAUGCAGCGACGCCGCGUGAGUGAAGAAGUAUUUCGGUAUGUAAAGCUCUAUCAGCAGGGAAGAUAAUGACAGUACCUGAAUAAGAAGCCCCGGCUAACUACGUG